rnacentral:rRNA from 1 species
GACGAACGCUGGCGGCGUGCUUAACACGUGCAAGUCGAACGGCAAGGCCCUGCUUUUGUGGGGUGCUCGAGUGGCGAACGGGUGAGUAACACGUGAGUAACCUGCCCUUGACUUUGGGAUAACUUCAGGAAACUGGGGCUAAUACCGGAUCGGAGCUCCUGCUGCAUGGUGGGGGUUGGAAAGUUUCGGCGGUUGGGGAUGGACUCGCGGCUUAUCAGCUUGUUGGUGGGGUAGUGGCUUACCAAGGCUUUGACGGGUAGCCGGCCUGAGAGGGUGACCGGCCACAUUGGGACUGAGAUACGGCCCAGACGCCUACGGGAGGCAGGAGUGGGGAAUAUUGCACAAUGGGCGGAAGCCUGAUGCAGCAACGCCGCGUGCGGGAUGGCGGCCUUCGGGUUGUAAACCGCUUUCGCCUGUGACGAAGCGUGAGUGACGGUAAUGGGUAAAGAAGCACCGGCUAACUACGU